rnacentral:tRNA from 1 species
CGGAUGUAGCCAAGUGGAUCA